AUUACCUCAGAAUAUAUUUAGUAAAAUGCUAAUAAUGGUACGUACUUGCUGAAGUGACUAAAAUAUUCUGAUGAUCUUAUAUUAACAUGCUCGAUCACAAUGUGACGAAAUGUUCUGCAUGAUAUAAAAAUGGAGCUAUUUUUUAAUUUAAAAAAGAACGUUUUUGAACAGAUGUAUGUCCACUUCUUCAUGAGAGCGGUUUAUUUAUUCGAGUGUUCUAAUUCAACGCUCUUCUGUUGAAUCAAACUCUGGUAGUUUCACACGAAACUGAAAAAUUAUUUCAGGAGAUCUUCAACAAUGGAAAUCAGUGAAACUUUCCUCAAAUUUUGUUGCUAUCCUCGCGAACAGAGAAGGGAAUGGAACAAGUCAUGGAGCAAGCAAAAAAGACAAAAUAACUCCUGAAUUUGCAGAGCUUGUGAAUGGCGUGUUUGGUCAGGAGGUUCGCAAUCACAUGUACAGAGCUUAUGCAAUAGUGCCUCCAAACAGCAAAGAUAUCACUUUUAAAAAUCAGAGAGCGGACGGAGGUGAAAGGCCGAUCUGGUGGGUGUUUUCAGGUAUGGGUUCUCAGUGGAACGGUAUGGGUGCCCAGCUUAUAAACGUACCCUUUUCCGUGACGCCAUCAAUAGGUGUGACAAAGUUCUCGCACCACGGGGAGUGGACAUCAAGCAUAUCCUUACAUCCAAAGAUGAGGACAUGUUCGAUAAUAUUUUACAUGCAUUUGUUGGUAUCACUGCAACGCAGAUAGGCUUGGUUGAAGUGUUAAGAGCUUUGGAUUUGAAGCCUGAGGGCAUGGUGGGACACUCCGUCGGCGAAUUAGGCUGUGCUUACGCUGAUAAUUGUCUAACCCUUGAGCAAACAAUUCUAGCUGCUUAUGCCCGAGGCAGAGCUUCAUUGGAGUCAACUUUGAUCAAAGGGAUGAUGGCAGCCAUAGGUAUUAUGCACAGACAACCCUCUACUUAAGUAAGCAUGGCUCAUGCAUGCCUGCCUGAUAAGCCUCAUGAGGACACCUAAGCAAGAGGAUAAUGUCUGCAAAUGAAUUUAGAAAAAAACACAUUUUUUCAUCGUCGAAACUUUUCAAUAUAUGGCGAAAAA
rnacentral:lncRNA from 1 species